rnacentral:lncRNA from 1 species
UAUCACUACAUCAAUGCGGCUGAAAAUUCAAUUAAACUAGCCUCCUAGGGUAACUUACAACCCUCUAUUUUCUUUCAAGGAAUAUAGUUCCCCUUUUCAUUUUCUUUUUUUUUUUUUUUUGCUUUCUUUUCUUUUUUGCCAUUUUCGUGAAUUUCUUUUCUUUUAAUUUUCCAUGGUUUGCUGAAGUUCAGAAUAGUCCUCAGCUAUUGUUUCCCUUCAGGUAACAUGCAGCUGCAAAUGGCCAUCUACACUGGCACACAGUCAAGCCCAUGGCCAAGGAAAGAAUGUGAGAGUCUGCAACUUUCCCUUUCCCCUAUUGGCUAUUUGGUCUGCAUCUUCUUUCUGUAACACUCCCAAUAAGUUUGAGUCAAACAGUCCUCCUGCAUCUGAUUUUUGUCUGAAAAAAACUGUGAGAUUUUCAGAUGGGAAUAUCAAUAAAUCACAUGACCUGUCUUCAAUCU